rnacentral:tRNA from 1 species
GCCUGGAUGGCUCAGCGGUUGAGCGCCUGCCUUCAGCUCAGGGCCUGAUACCAGGAUCUGGGAUAGAGUCCCACAUCAGGCU